AAAGAGCACUUUGCAAACACUGGGAGAGGUAAGAGGCUAUACUCGCGGGGAAAACAAAGGCCUUUUAACUGUUACUGCUGCUCUGAAAGGUGUAAACAUACGGUCUAAAGGCAAGAAUCCUGAGCCCAGAGCAGGCUCUGUGGUGACUAACUUCCCAGCUGACAUCUGCUAAGUAAAGAUCUGAUGGCAGAAAAUCUUUAGCCUGAGUUUAUCAACAGUAACAUCUCAGAGAGCUUCCAUGAUAUGCAAUGCUCUACUGCCGUUAAAUCUGUGAUUUGAUGGUUAAUCUCUUCAUCCAUUAAGCCCCCAGGAAAGUAUACCUCUGCACAGAAUGAAGGAAACUGUUCCUAGAACUCUCAUUGACAUAAGUGAAACCACACUGUUCUCCUUAUUACACAGUUACUGAAAUCAAAAGAAGUUUAUGCAUAUGUUUAUUUGCUUUAAUUACAUAGGUAACACAUGGAUUAAUUCUUGUGAAAACAUUUAAACUAUACAGAGUUCAGGGCAAAUAGUUCCCUUCUCACCUCGUAAUCCC
rnacentral:lncRNA from 10 species